CGGGAGGGCGCGCGCCAGGGUCGCUCGCUCGCUCCCUCCCUCCGCUGGUGCGUUUAGUCAGUCAGCCAGCAGCAGCCGGCGGGCCCGCGAGCCGCAGAGGGCCCGAGCCUCGGACGCCGGCGCCUCCUCCUGCCAUUGUUCGUCGGGCUGCAGCAGUGGCGGGCGCAGGAGCCCGGCCCCGGAGCCACCGCAACUCUCGCUGCAAUUUUAUUUUAAUUUGAGAAAUAAAGAUUUCCUCCAAGCCACAUGAGGACUCUGGCACCCACCCACAAAGCAAGACCUGUAUUUAUAAGCCGAGGGCUCAGGGAGCCUAACUGCGGGACCCGUCAGGGCCCCGUGACCCAUCCCCGUCCCCACCCCCCCCUCCACCGCUGGGCCCAUCAGUGUGUGUUGGGGGGAUGCUUGGCAGCUGGGGGUGAGGAGACAACAAACCUCGGGAACUGGAGCCAGAGCUGCGGCCUGACUGACGCCUUUUGAUGCUCACGGGAAAUUUCUGCCCAGGAUCUCAGCCCCAGGCUGGUUGUUUCUACAAAUCUCUCUCAAAUGUAUUAUUUUGGUGACAAAAAUGAAGGAGCUUUGUAAAUUUUUUUUAAAAUUAUGAAUCAUAUCAAGUAGUUGUUUACAUUUCUUGAAAAAAUAGGAACUCGGGCAGCAGAAUCAGAUUGGCAGAAUCUUUAGACUACACAGGCAAUAAUCAAGUCUGCUGUUUUGGCCUUUCGUAGUAGAAGUGGUUGUAGUGUUUAGAUAUCUGUUUGGUCUUGCUUCUUGUAUUGCAUUUUUUUCAAUAAACAACAACAAAAAGAACUCUCUCUGUGAGGAUUGAUCCACUUUUAAAUUUCUCUUCUACCAGCAACUUGGGAAAAAUUAAAUAUGGGUGGGGGAGACCUAAACUCAAGUCAUUUUCUAAAGUAAGUUACCCACAUUGACCAAAAUGCAGCUUCAACGUUGAGUAAAGGGAUUUCUGAGAGCUGGCCAAUGCCUUUUGCCAGCUGCAGUGAGAUUCUGCAGCAUAGGCCACGAUAAAGGAAGGAGAGAAGGGGCUUCUCAGACUUAUUUGCAGAAGGGCCCAGAACUCAGUAUGAAGGCAUUGGCAGUAGUGUAGCUCUAGAGGGAUAUACCCCAGAUGGCUGAGGGAAGAAAGGGAUUGAGGUGGUAGGAGUUCAAGGCUCAGUCCCCGUCCCAGAUGGCAGUGGAGAGUCUCAUCCCGUG
rnacentral:lncRNA from 1 species